AGUGGGGUGCGAUCCCGAUAUUAACAAAAUGGGUCGAAAUCUCGACGCGGUAGGGGCCACGGUAUCGGUGAGGAAGAAACCUACUUGCGCGGCACUCGCGUUUUCGCGGCAAUUCGAUCGCCCCAACUGGUCUGGGUUUCGUGACGUUGUUGGUAUCAUCUGAGCCGGUGAUCUUCAUUCCUCCUUUGCGUGUCCUAAGUGUUUGCAGAACGCGCACCUCAGUUUGUCAUAGGCGUGCUGAGGAUGGGCUGCUUUUCCACGUCAACACACCAAAACAAAAAACAGGACCAACUUUAUUGACCACUCUGUACUUCCGGUAGCAUAAUUAAGCAUUUUAGGUUAUGUUCAAAACUUCCAAUCUUUACUAAAAUCAAGCUAAGGCUGUGCUAGUAGUGAUUCAUUCACCUUUGUGAAGAUAGUCAUGGAUGAUGUUAUUGUUAAAAUAGAACCAGAACAAGAAGAUGAACUAAAUUUGUCGCUCGAAAGAAACAUUGUUGUCAGUAAUGAGUUUUUGGGAACUGUACAAGAACAGAAUACUACACCCAGUGCAGAACAUUGUAGCGACCAGUGCAAUGGCGACGAAAUGCAGCAACAAGAAUGUUGGUCAAAUAUUAAUUCUCAGGCUGCAGAAUUUAAAUGUGUAGUUUGUGAUUACGUGGCAGGUAACGAACGGAAUUUUAAAAGGCACCGUUUCAUUCACGAAACUGCUAACGUAUUUAAAUGUCACAAUUGUGAUUAUGCCACAAAUAGAAAAUGCAAUUUGAGCAAUCAUGUCAUAAUGCACAAUCGGUCUAAAGAGUUUAAAUGUGAACUCUGUGAUUAUGCCUCACAUAGAGAACACAAUUUGAAAAUACACACCGUAAAACACGCUCAAUCCAAAUUUUUUAAAUGUGACAUUUGUGGUUAUGCCACAUAUCGAAAAGACAAUUU